rnacentral:rRNA from 1 species
UGGGGAAUAUUGCACAAUGGGCGCAAGCCUGAUGCAGCAACGCCGCGUGAGGGACGACGGCCUUCGGGUUGUAAACCUCUUUUAGUAGGGAAGAAGCGAAAGUGACGGUACCUGCAGAAAAAGCACCGGCUAACUACGUGCCAGCAGCCGCGGUAAUACGUAGGGUGCAAGCGUUGUCCGGAAUUAUUGGGCGUAAAGAGCUCGUAGGCGGUUUGUCGCGUCUGCUGUGAAAACCCGAGGCUCAACCUCGGGCCUGCAGUGGGUACGGGCAGACUAGAGUGCGGUAGGGGAGAUUGGAAUUCCUGGUGUAGCGGUGGAAUGCGCAGAUAUCAGGAGGAACACCAAUGGGCGAAAGGGCAGAUCUCUGGGCCGUAACUGACGCUGAGGAGCGAAAGCAUGGGGAGCGAACAGGAUUAGAUACCCUGGUAGUCCAUGCCGUAAACGUUGGGAACUAGAUGUGGGGACCAUUCCACGGUCUCCGUGUCGCAGCUAACG